rnacentral:piRNA from 1 species
CAGUUUGAUCUGGUGGAUGUGUUCAGAA